rnacentral:piRNA from 1 species
UUUCUGGAAGAGGCGCAACUGGUACAC